GGGUGCGAUCAUACCAGCGUUAAUGCACCGGAUCCCAUCAGAACUCCGCAGUUAAGCGCGCUUGGGCUAGAGUAGUACUGGGAUGGGUGACCUCCCGGAAAGUCCUAGUGUUGCACCCUG
rnacentral:rRNA from 1 species